rnacentral:rRNA from 1 species
CUACGGGGCGCAGCAGUCGAGAAUCUUCCGCAAUGGGCGCAAGCCUGACGGAGCAAUGCCGCGUGAGGGAUGACGGCCCUAGGGUUGUAAACCUCUGUCAGAAGGGACGAAGAACGUGACGGUACCUUCAGAGGAAGCCAUGGCUAACUACGUGCCAGCAGCCGCGGUAAUACGUAGAUGGCGAGCGUUAUUCGGAUUUACUGGGCGUAAAGGGUCCGUAGGGGGUCUGCCAAGUCUGAUGUGAAAUCCUGCGGCUCAACCGCGGAACUGCAUUGGAAACUGGCGGACUAGAGUGUGCGAGGGGUGAGCGGAAUUCCUGGUGUAGCGGUGGAAUGCGUAGAUAUCAGGAAGAACACCGAUGGCGAAGGCGGCUCACUGGCGCAUCACUGACCCUGAGGGACGAAAGCGUGGGUAGCAAACAGGAUUAGAUACCCUCGUAGUC